CAAUAGCGUAUAUUUAAGUUGUUGCAGUUAAAAAGCUCGUAGUUGGAUUUCGGGUGGGACGCAGCGGUCUCGCAUUGCGUUUGUACUGCUGCAGCCCUCCUUCUUGCCGGGGGCGGCCUCUCGGACUUCACUGUCUGGGGGUCAGAAUCGGCGAUGUUACUUUGAGUAAAUUAGAGUGUUCAAAGCAAGCUUACGCUCUGAAUAUAUUAGCAUGGAAUAACACGAUAGGACUCUGGCUUAUCUUGUUGGUCUGUGAGACCAGAGUAAUGAUUAAGAGGGACAGUCGGGGACAUUCGUAUUUCAUUGUCAGAGGUGAAAUUCUUGGAUUUAUGAAAGACGAACUUCUGCGAAAGCAUUUGUCAAGGAUGUUUUCAUUAA
rnacentral:rRNA from 1 species